GCUUUCCUUGUCAUGGGGCAAGAGAGUUGCUCAGGAAACACCUAGUGAGAGCAGCUGUGCUAACACCCUAACAACAUACAUGCAUCACCUGGGCUUUUAUCCAGUAUAUGGUGCAAUUUUUGGAAAC
rnacentral:ncRNA from 1 species